AAAUAUUCAACUAAUUGCAGAUGGUAACCACAGAGUUCAGGGAUGACGGAUCCUCUGAAACAUUGCCCAUACUUGGCAUUUAAAGAACCCCUCCUGCCAUUAUAAAUUUCAAGAGAGAUCAAUCCUCCAGCAUACAGAGAGACCUGCCUUUCCAAAGAAUACACCUCCAGAUAAGCCCACCAGGAAUAAUUCCUACUGAGAGAGUUCACAAUGUGGAAAAAUCUGCUGGCCGUGGUCCUCCUUGCAGGCCUCUGCAGCGAAGUUGGUCUCUGCGUGAGAAGGAGCGGCUCAUAUAGAAGGCCGUGGAAGAAGUUCUUCAAAAAUGUCAAAAAAAAUUCGACCACCCUGCAAAAUCUUUGCUAUGGCAGCGCAAUGAUUGAGAACAUGACCCUAGAGGCCAAUGACACAAUUUUUUACAGGGAGAAUGCCAAGGAGUUUCCCAAUGGAGUUUUCUACCCCAACUGUUCUUUGCCCCUCCAGCUUAAUGAGAGCAGAGCAACUCAAACUGAGGAGUGUGUUGACUUCAUCAUCACUUUGACCAGCUUGAGCCUGCCCGAUGGGAAGAAUGCAAGCGAACCCAGCAAGAGGGUGAUGUGGCACGUGAUCAAUCAUUUGUGUGCCAAUGAAUCCUGCAGCCUGCCAUGCCCAAGGUCUUCAAAUGUUAGCAGGGCCCAUUCCUUCAGUCAAAUUCUAAUGAUGAGCCUUGUGGCUUACUCCGUUCUUAGCUCACAGUAGAGUAUGGGAGAAAGUCCGAUGAAAACCAAAAGGGAAAUUUGCAAAUAACGAAGCUUCCUUCCCCAUGCUUGAGUUUCUAUGGAUAGGGAAAAGAUUAGUCCAUUAUGUGCAGACAUUUCCAAUUUUCAUUCAACCAUCAGCUUCCCCAUUCUGCUCCCACAAUAGAGGAAAAAGUGCAUGCUCUAAAUGCAAAGGGAUGCAAAUGUGUGAAUGAUAUAGAGAAUUGUGAUUUAAUUAAGGCAGUGGUAGUCAACCUGGUCCCUACCACCCACUAGUGGGUGUUCCAGCUUUCAUGGUGGGCGGUAGGGGUUUUGUCUGAUACUGAAGCACUUUCCUUUUUUUUAAUUUAAUUGACUUUAAAAAAAAUAUUCAUAGCAUUAUUUAAAAACAUUUUCAUUCGGUUUUCAUAAUUUAUGCUUCUAUGUAUGCAAAGUAUAAAUAAAAAGAUAGAUUUAACUAAAGCAAGUUGUUUUAUAAAGAUUUAGUCUGCCAAACUUAGCAAAAGUCCGACAUAAAGUAUUUGGUAAGUAAUUAUUAUUAUUAUAUGCUUUAACUUGUUGUAUCUCUCCUUUAUAAAUUUUAUAAAGUAAAGUUACUUCCCUACUUUAUAAAUCACCAUUACUGUGGAACCAGUGAGCGGUUAGAAAAUUUUACUACUAACAGAGAUACAAAAGUGGGUGGUAGGUAUAAAAAGGUUGACUACCCUUGAACUAAGGUCAGAAAAAAUCAAGGUUAUCUUUAACCAGCCUUUGAGCUUUGUCAAUCAGGGUCACUCUGGAAUGAAAUAUUUCUCUUUCUAAGCAGUUUCCUAACAGUUAGAACAAUUAAUCAGUGGAACAACUUGCCUGCAGAAGUUGUAAAUGCUCCAACUCUGGAAAUUUUUAAGAAAAUGUUGGAUAGCCAUUUGUCUGAAAUGGUGUAGGGUUUCCUGCCUGGGCAGGAGGUUGGACUAGAAGACCUCCAAGGUCCCUUCCAACUUUGUUAUUAUUAUUAUUAUUAUAUGAAUAGGCACCUCUGAAACUAUUAAUCAUGUUUUAUUAUAUUGCAAAUUUAUGCUGAUACAUAUUUGGAUAAUCCCAUGUCAUCUCAAUCUUAUAUCUCUUAUUUGAUUUAUAGAUAUGUGCAGUUCUAUUAUUGUAACUAUAUCUCACUAUAUCAUGUGUAAAAACUAUAGCCAUCUUAUAGAUGUGUCUACUUAGUCUAUAAUUAAUAUUUGCCAUAUUUAUUUAGGUAUAAUACAAUAGUUAUUCAUGAAAAUAAUAAAGGCGAUAGAUUAGAUAGAAUAGAAUAGAAUAGAAUAGAAUAGAAUAGAAUAGAAUAGAAUAGAAUAGAAUAGAAUAGAAUAGAAUAGAUAAUUUAUAUUAUCAAGUUUAAUUAUGUUCUGGUCAUUGACCACCUUAAAGAUUUUCUUCUUGUGUGGCAAGAAAAUGUAUAUCAGGGGAAGAAGACAGGCAAGUGCCAUCAUGUGCAUCAUACUAAUUGCACACAUGAUGAGUAUUACAUAAUUUGUAUCACUUGGCAUCAGUUCUGCAAAUGACAUCUCUGUGAAUUAUAAUUGAUGCUCAUGUAUAAAUGGUAGGAUUUUAGAAACCAGUUUAGAGAAAUUACUGUAGACCUAUGCAGGAAGGCAGAUUGGGAUCUACUCAAAGAUUUCUGGAUGAUUAGGAACAGCUCAGUCGUCUUUUUUUCAGAUCUCCAUUUAAUAUAUAUAUAUAUGCCAAUCUCAAACACAUGACUCCAGAUGGCUUGAAAAUAAAAUAGUAAAGUAAAAAAUAAUAAUACCAAUAAAUAACAAAUAUAAACUACAGGUGAGUAGCUAGACUCAAAACUCAUAUUAAAUUAUUUUAUGAAUGCCACAAUAAUUUAUAAAUCACAAUAUAUCAUAUAUUAUGACUGAGUUUGUAAAAAACAAGACACAGGACAGUUUUUGCUCCAAGCCUGAAGAUGCUCCAAGUCUAUCUGUAAGAUGAAAUCCCUUUAUCACUAUUUUAAACCAAAAUGAGAUAGUCUCUUCGGGUCCAGUGCAAUUAAGAAUGAAAAUGAAUAAUAAAGGUGCUCUCAUAAAUCUCCAUUUAUUCACUAGAUUUUUACAUGUGAAGCUCCACCAUAACCCGUUAGCUAUCAAUAAAGAAAGGGAAGAAGAAAUAUCCUAAAGAAAACCACCUUUGCAGGCACUGCUUCUACUUCUUUUUAUUUCCAUCGUUUUUCUAACUUACCUCCAAGAGUCAUCUUGUAUGAUGGAAAAUGCAUCCAUACAGGGCCAGGGGUUAGUUUAUUUAUUGCAGCCAAACAUAGAAUGAACCAAUUGCCAUAACUACAAACCAAACUUUGCUUUCAAAUCCAAAGGAGAAGCAGACCAUAAUUCUCAACUUGUAGACCAUAACACUUGAUUAACUUGGCCAGGUUAUGAUUGAUCAUCUUGGGAUUAGUUUGGUUUUCGCUCACGGUGUUAUGUAAAUCCAAUCAAUUGUGAUGCAAUCAAUAAAUAAUAGUUAUAGAAAA